AUUCCAGCUCCAAUAGCGUAUAUUAAAGUUGUUGCGGUUAAAAAGCUCGUAGUUGGAUUUCUGCUGAGGAUGACUGGUCCGCCCCCUGGGUGAGUAUCUAGGCUAUCCUUGGCAUCUUCCUGAAGAACGUAGCUGCACUUGACUGUGUGGUGCGGUAUUUAGGACAUUUACUUUGAGGAAAUUAGAGUGUUUCAAGCAAGCGCACGCCUUGAAUACAUUAGCAUGGAAUAAUAAGAUAGGACUUUGAGUCUAUUUUGUUGGUUUGCGAGUCAAAGUAAUGAUUAAUAGGGACAGUUGGGGGUAUUCGUAUUUCAUUGCCAGAGGUGAAAUUCUUGGAUUUCUGAAAGACGAACUACUGCGAAAGCAUUUACCAAGGAUGUUUUCAUCA
rnacentral:rRNA from 1 species